rnacentral:lncRNA from 1 species
AUACAGCUCCUCGUAAACAUAUCGAAUAGCAAAUAUAUCCCUGCAAAGUUCAAAUUGUUAGAUUUAUUCCUUCAAAAGUCUGGUGAUGUUCAUAUUUGUCCCUCUGGUUUGUUUCCGUCAGCUCACUAUUUAUUUUUUAACAGAAGAUAAGUUAAAUGUCAAUUUUGUCAUCACGUCCAUCUGAAAAACCCUAAUAGUUAGAAUCGUACAGAAAUGUCCUUCCAAAAAAAUUUCAAUAGUCAUCUUCUUCCUCUAUAAAAGCUAACACAUUCCACUAUUAUUGCAAUCUCUUUUCUACCUCUUCUCUCACUCCUUUACUCCUUUAUCUAUCUAAUACUGAUACCCGGCGCUCGACAUGAGGGAAAUAAUGGAUGAAUGGGGACGGAGAAAUCCUAGUUACGGAUUCGAAACUAGCAUAAAGGAGAGGGACGAAGAGGAAGAAGAAUUUCCAUUGUUAGGUUUUUGAUCGAGCUAGGGUUAUGAUCAGGAGAAGAAGGUAUAAUAUCAUAGAGGUAAAAAGGUCAAUUUACCUUACUCACUAACCAAGGUUAAGUAUUUUAUCUAUAGUUAACUACGCUUUUCUAACAGACACUAAUAUAUUUGAAACCGUUAGGACUUUUUGAGGGAUAAAUUUGAAAAAAUAAAUUUUGUAGGGAUAUAUUUGCUAUUCAAUGUGUUUACAGGGAACUGUAUGAAAUUAUCCCAAGUUUUUAACGGUGUAUACUCAAUUAACUAACUCUAUUUACAAUACUAAAAGACUUGCGCAGCAUUUAUUAAAUAGAAUUAGACAUAAACAUGUGUAGAAUUGUUAUUUCCAAAGAAUCCAAACCCCCCUUUUUCUAAUUUGCAGUAAAACCUUGCAUUGUUUAGUAAAUGCCGAAGCAUUUCCUAAUUAUUAUGAGCACUUUUGACUGUUUCAGGGUCGGGAGAAACUCGGGGACAGACCACUCUUUGUACUUGUGGAAGCAGCGUGAGCAAUGCUCAUUUAAUUUUAUUGUUUGUUGAGUUACUUCCGUCGGAUAAUAUAUGCCAAAACAUUUCCCGAAAGCUAGGUCAAAAGAAACAACCAUCGUCAAUUGGCUAAUUCUCCACUUGGGAACAAUAAUGUAAGCUCCCUGUUCAAAUUUGUCUGGGGUCUUUUCGUAUUACAUUACUACGUCGUGUAAACUAUUAUUUAUAAGUUGAAAUAAGGGAAGAAUUUUAUGUGUUGUCUAUCUUUGGACUGCUCCGUUGUUCCUUUUUUCCAUUUAGAGUAGUAGUGGUUUCGCUUACAGGAUGUCAAUUCUUUUAUAAUUGGUAGUUCAAUUGGGCAUGUUGGGUACCGUCCUCACUCUUGGUUAGUUAUAUUUUCUUGACAGGAAAUAAAGAUUGUUGCUAAGCGACAUUUGGAUCAAGUACUUUGUGAUUGUGCAUGUAACAAACUGUGCUGGACUGGUCGUCCAUCUUGAAUGGCUAGCAUGGUUCCUGCCGCAGGUUCACUUAAGAGUGUUUGGUUGCAUGUAGUCGCAACUAAUCACAAUGUAGUCGCAACUGCUUGGAAAUUUAAAUUCGCUAUUUGAUUUUAUGCAUUUAAAUCCAACUAUCAUAGUUGAAACUAUAUUUAAAUUAGCCACAGCUCCAAAAAUAGUUCUAUAAAGUAAAACCUCCCUAAUAAUUUUCUAAUAAAAAAUAAUUAUUUUCUAUAUAAAAAAUAAUCUCACCAUCCUAUAUAUAUAUAAAAUAAUUAAAUUUUACAAAUGCACUCGUAAGUCACAUAUUAGCAUCAAAGUAUUGUUUAUAGUUGCUAUACUUUUUAUAAUACCCAACCAAAAAUAAUGUAUGUAAUUAUAAUUAUUGUAUUUUUAAUUAUAUACAUCUGGAAUUAUACUGAAUGUAUUAUUAUAUUUAACUAAAUGGUCCCUUAUGUGGAGGCAAGUAUAAAGGAAUUAAAAUAAUGCAGUGUUUAUUAUCCAUAAAAGAGAUCCUCAGAGAGCUUAAUUUAUCUACAAAUGAAUUUUAACACAAUACAUAAACUGUACAGUUGUCAUCAAUAUUACUACCUAAUACAACUGCCGUAUAACUCCAACCUCCUUUUUUCUGAUGUUAUUUGGUACAUACAACAAGAAACAGUAGUGCACAAGAUUAAAUCAACCCUACUCUCCGAUUCAUGGAAAGAAUCACUUAAUCAGCUUACACAAAACCUCCCUCUAUUUCUAACUCUAGAAAAAAUGAAAACGAAGGAAAAACAAAAAAAAAAAACGAAAAGAAAAAAAAAGGAACAGUGGUAGAGCACAUGGAAGAUGGUGUGGAUGCUACCAGCUAUGCAACUCAGGAUCCUCGAAAACUUUGAAUUGCUGUCGUGCAGUGACCAUUAAUAUUUAUGAGAGAAUCGAUUUCAAAGUUCCUUAGCAUGAGGCUUAGGCAAUGCACAGGGGUGAGGAUUUCCAUCAGUUGAAUUGAUACCGUUGAGAACAAUUGAUUCAGAGCUAGUUUUAGCUGAUGUGAUGCACUUUGAAUGUGGAGAAAGCAUAGUAGUAACUAUUUCGGCAUUGGAUGGCGGUGAAGUACACACUGCUGCUAGCUUUGAAGUCUCACUAUAAGAGUGGUUUGUUUUACUGUUAAAAGAGACAAAAUUAAUAUGGUUAGAUGAAUUACCAAAUGCAAGAAUAGGAACAUUUUUCUCGUAAUUAAUAAACCAACAUAGGUUAGUUAAAAAGAAAUUAGUGUCCAAAGUUGGAUCCCAAUUUCAGUAACAUCCUGACAAGUUUCAUCAGUUUUCUCAAUUUAGUCCUCAGAGCUUCGUCCAACAGACUUUUUGCAAAGGACCAAACUUCGGUUGUCAGAGGCUAAGUUGCUGAUAUUAAAACUCUUGAGGACCAUUUAUAUCGGGAUCAAACUUUACGAACUCAACUCAUAAUUAAGCCUAUUCACUAGCAACAAGAGAAAUUACUAGUGGUUACCCAUUGGCAGACGGUUUUCCUCUCACACACGAGUCGCUUUUAGAGGACUUUGUUUUGUCUCUAGGGUUACAUGUAGGAUCCUGUCCAGUAAUUGGAGAUAUAGGUUUAAAUAUACUUGGAGCUGCAAAAUUUGAAACAAUCUAAGAUUGAAUUGGAUAAUAUAACCCUUACAAUGAGCUUAAUCCCUGCAAACGAGUGUAUUGAACCAUGGAGGUUGUAGUGAUGUGAGUUCCGAAUAAACGGAUGGUCCAAUAGCAUGGUUGCUGUUGGCCUAUCCACAGGAUUCCUACGAAAGCAGCGCCGGAGAAAGUCCUUUCCCUCAGAGGAUAAUCUGUCAGGUAUUGGUGGGUCUUUGUGCAAAACCCUGAACAUAGCUGCAGCCUAGGACAAAUCAAAUUUAAAAAGGAAUAAGAAUUUUAGUGCUCACAACACAAACAAGCCAAGCGCUUGCAGCAGAUGAUAUUUCCUACAUAUAUAUUAAUAAACGGAGCCGAUCACAAUUGUAGUCCUCAGAAGUUGAAAAGUUUAAAAUAGGGUUUAUUUUCGAUUAAUUAUGGGUUAUAAUUGGGCUUAUUAACUGAAUCUUGAAAAUACCCCUCAGCAGUUUGAAACAUCAGAAAUACCCCUGUAAACUAGAUAUUCUUGAAUGAUUUGUUCUAAUUUUGACGGUACCCCUAAGUUUGAAAGUGUUGAAUAUAUCGCUCGCAAGGUUGGGAUACCUCUGUUACAUGCUUAUUCUUUCAUGAAUGCCCUUUACAGAGGACACUUAUUAAAAUCAAGCACAUUUUUAGGGCCUUUAUGAUACUCCGAGAGCAUUUCUUCAAGUAUUUUCAGUGGGUUUUUAUACUACCUUCAACUUUUGAUGGGCAUGCAUGAAAAUAUGAGUCAGUAGUAUACGUGCUUUUUUCCAUAAAUUAUCCUACAUCUCAAGCCAGAAGGAAAAACAGUAUUACCCCUUCAAGGCCACUCCAUGGAUGUUUUCCAGUGAACAUUUCAAUGAUGGUACAUCCCAAACUCCAAAUGUCUACAGCAAGAUCAUAACCAGCAUCUUUCUUCAUUGUAGCCUGUACAACCUGCAAUAGAGAAAAGCAGAGAGUGCAAGAGUUAUCAAGGAUGCAACGGCAACAAGUGUUGAUAUGAGUUGAGAAUUUAGUGGGUUAAAAUGCAAGUUUAAAGCCCCAGUUAUAUUGUGAUAAGCAUAUUAACCUUUCCUUGAGGUAAAGUGCAAGGUCUUCUAACAAACCGAGGGGUUAUUUGUAGACUUUGAUUAUUGAAAAAGGUAGAGUGCAUAUUGCAACAUAUCCAGGGAUUUUUCUUCAGCUAAGCCAAUUCGGAACCAGAGAAUAAAGAACCUGAGAGUUCAGAUAAAAUGUACCUCGGGAGCCAUCCAAUAUGGUGUUCCCUUCAAUGAAAGAUUGGGUGCAGCAUCACUCAACUGCAGGAACAAAAAGAAAAGGGUCGUACAAAUAUGUUAGUCAUUCUAUUUUUCUGGUCACAAAUGGUGAGCUACUAAUGGAAAAUCUCUAACAACAAAUUACUUAAUCCAAUAAUUUAGAUAUAGAAACCUGGCAGGUUUCUGCAUAGAAAUCUCUACUUUGAGAGGCAAAUUACUGUCCUGAAAUGAGGAUUACCAAUUAUUGUGGAGUGAGUUCUUGCUUAUGAGAUUCGUGUAGGUAAAGUUGAAUUAACAUACCCACAUACACAAAGAGGACAGUCCUUCAUCUAAGAAUUACAUAAAGCUAUAAAAAAGCCAACACUCACAUGUUUCGCCAUCCCAAAAUCAGCCAACUUGACAACACCAUUUGCAUCCACAAGUAAAUUGGCUCCUUUAAUAUCCCUGCCAGAAGCAUUUACCUUUUUAGGGUACGAAAAUUCAAGUUUGACCUCAAUAUUAUGAACAGAAAGUCCUUUUACGAUACAAACACACAAAGAGAUGCACAUCCACACAAAUAUUCUCUCCCUCCAUUCUCUCUCCCUCCCUCCCUCCUCUCUCUCUCUCACACACACACAUACGCAUUACGAUACAAACACACAAAGAGAUGCACAUACACACAAAUGCACUCUCCCUCCCUCCAUCACACACACACAAGAAGGGACAAACAUCUCUCUCUAGAAAGGCUAUCGUACAUAUAGGACAAAGAACAAAAGAAAAGAUGCAAGCUAAUUAUUUCUGCUCAAAUCUGGAAUAAAGGUACGUACCGAUGCAUUAUCUUCUUGCUAUGCAAGUAAGUCAGUCCAUUAAGAAUAUGACGAGUGAAAUUACGAACCACUGAUUCUGUCAUAGCUCCACAAUGUUGACGGACGUAUUUGUUGAUUGAACCAGGAUGAACAUACUCCAAGUAUAUGUGAAAACGAUCAUCAAUCUGCAAGCAUAGAAUAAUUAAAUCCAUUAAAUUGCAUUUACAAUAACUUCAAGAGUUCCAAAUAUAAAUCCAUUAAAUUGCAUUUGCAAUAACUUAAAAGAGUUCCAAAUAAAAAAAAAAAACAGUAAAGAAAGCUCACAAUUUCACUCCCAUAAUAUUGCACUAUAUUUUGAUGCUUGAAUUGACUAAGAAAUUUUAUUUCCUGCAAAAAGGCAAAAGAAUUGAUUAAACCCACUCUUCAAGCAGCAAUAAAAGAUGAAUCGUUAUUCACAAUCAUUACAAGAAAAAAGAGGAAAACAUUUAAACAGUAAAGUGAUUCAACAAAUAACCGAAAAGUCAAGAAAGUACAUCUUCUCUAUUUGUAGCAACAUCUUUCCAAUUCAUGUCACCUCCAGAAAAUAACUAGUCUUAAAUAUAUUGAGUUACUAUUCAUCUUGGAUUCAAAGUAAACUGACUGUGAUCUUCACCAGAAUGUGACUCUUGGAUGACAAAAAGAACUAACCUGCUCUAACUGCUUCAAACAUUCUGCAGAUUUGGAGUCGUCCGCAAUAAUAUUGACUUCCUUCAUUGCACACAAAGCUCCAGUUUGCCUACAAAAAAGACAAUAAUAUUAAAAAAAAAAAAAGUAAUGGUUCAAUCAAAAAGAGACCAGUGCAACCCUGCAACUUUGUCUAGUCACACGUAUACUGUUGUGAAAUUGAGAUUUCAUAUAGCUAUUUGACUUAAUUUAAAUACAACAAUUACCUUUUCUCCCAAAAAAAAAAAAAAAAAAAAAAAAAACAACAACAACAACAACAACAGAUACCCAUCUUCACAAAACCCAACUUUCCCCAUGAAUUGGAUGACUCCCCAUCUUACGGGUAUUUGUGAAAGCAGCUACAUUAUUGAGGGUUACACAUAUCAUAUCAUUCAGAUUUUGCAGGCUUACCUAUGUAGACCAAUGAUAUUGCAGGUGUACAUAUAGAAAAGCCCCAAUUAAACAAAAAAAGAGAAAAAAAUGAGAACAGCCAUCAAGCAGGACAUACCUAUUGGUGGCAACGUAAACAUUCCCAAAUGUACCACUCCCAAUAAGUUUCCCUUUUUGCCACUGACCGGUCAUUGGAGAAGCCUCAGCUUUCAAUGCACUUCGAUGAGCAGCAGGGGAAUGCAAAGGAACUGCGGCUCCAGGAGGGAGAGGCAGUGGGUGAACAUUAGCACUCCCAUUACUGUCAUGCCGCAAAACAGAAUUAUCUGGAAACAUUUUAGAAUGGACUGGUGAUGGGGGAGCACUCGAAUCGCUUGAUCUCCAUAUUGUAUUCUUUGUUGUUGGACUGUAACGGGCCGAACGGCCAGAAUUACUGAAAAUUCUUUCAGGUGAAGUUUGGCACGAGAGAGUAGUUGUUGUUGAAUCCAUGGAAGGGAUUGCCGGAGCUGACCAAAUAUUAAGUCCGUUACUUGAUCUUCGAGGGCUCCGAACUGGGCUUGCAAGCCCACUGGUUGGAGCACUUUUUGCAGGUAUAUUCAAUU